rnacentral:rRNA from 1 species
CACCGGCGGCUCGAGUGGUGGCCCCUUUUAUUGGGUCUAAAGCGUCCGUAGCCGGCUUGGCAAGUCCCCUGGGAAAUCUGGUGGCUUAACCGUCAGGCGUCCAGAGGAUACUGCCAGGCUUGGGACCGGGAGAGGUGAGAGGUACCUCAGGGGUAGGGGUGAAAUCUUGUGAUCCCUGAGGGACCACCAGUGGCGAAGGCGUCUCACUAGAACGGGUCCGACGGUGAGGGACGAAGGCCAGGGGAGCAAACCGG